rnacentral:rRNA from 1 species
UUAAAAACURGAAKGAARGGUUAUMCAUUCAAAUUUCUUUAUUAAUUUUUAAUAAAUAAUUUAUAUUAAAUAUAAAAAUAUAUUUUAAAAAAAAAAAGACGACAAGACCCUAUUAAAUUUUACUUAUAGUUUAGCUGGGGAAGCUUUUUAAUUAAAAUUUUUUAAAUUUAAUAAAUAAAAAUCUAAUAAAAUUAAAAUUUUAAUAAAUUACUAUAGGGAUAACAGCAUUAUAUUUUUUUAAAGUUCAUAUUAAAAAAAAAGAUUGUGACCUCGAUGUUGAAUUAUAUUUUCUAUAUUUAAUGCAAUAAUUAUAAAAGUAGAUCUGUUCGAUCUUUAAAAUAUUACAUGAUUUGAGUUCAAACCGGUGUAAACCAGGUUGGUUUCUAUCUUUUUUUUAUAUUUUUCUAGUACGAAAGGACAAAAAAAUUUUUAUUUUAAUAAAUUAGCAAAUAAAUGCAUUAGAUUUAGAAUCUAAAUAUAUUUAAUAAUUUUUUUUAUUAAUCCUUUAUUAUCAAUUAUUAUACUUUUAAUUUCAGUAGCAUUUUACACAAUUUUAGAACGAAAAAUUUUAAGAUAUAUUCAAAUUCGAAAAGGACCAAAUAAAGUAGGAUUUCUAGGUAUUUUACAACCUUUUAGUGAUGCUAUUAAAUUAUUUAAUAAAAAUUUAAUUUCAUCUGAAAGAAUAAAUUUUAUAUUAUCAUAUUCAACACCUGCAUUAUCUUUAAUUUUAAGAAUAAUAAUUGUCUCUAUAUUACCAAUAUAUUUUUAUUCUUCAUUUGAUAAUAAAAAUAAUAUUUUAAUAUUUU